GGAGAUUCUGGGUUCUAGUAGGGACAAAAAAAUUGUUUCCCAUAAAAAAAAUAUUAUUAAGUUCAAAUUCUUUCAUGAGCACCACCUUAGCAUUCUUUUAGUUUGUUUCACUGAUGAAAGCGGUUAUUCACCUUCUUUAAGGGAAAACCUGUAUUACUGGCUAAGUUGAUGUUAAGCUUCAUGAUUCCAAAAUUUGAAAAAUAUUCCUGGUAGAGUAGGAUAAGGGAAAACCUGUAUUACUGGCUAAGUUGAUGUUAAGCUUCAUGAUUCCAAAAUUUGAAAAAUAUUCCUGGUAGAGUAGGAUAAGGGAAAACCUGUAUUACUGGC
rnacentral:lncRNA from 1 species